rnacentral:rRNA from 1 species
GACGAACGCUGGCGGCGUGCUUAACACAUGCAAGUCGAGCGGAAAGACCCUGCGUUUGCGGGGUGCUCGAGUGGCGAACGGGUGAGUAAAACGUGAGUAACCUGCCCCUGACUUUGGGGUAAAUUCAGGAAACAGGGGCUAAUACCGGAUAGGAGCUCCUGCUGCGUGGGGGGGGUUGGAAAGUUUCGGCGGUUGGGGAUGGACUCGCGGCUUAUCAGCUGGUUGGUGGGGUAGUGGCUGACAAAGGCUUUGACGGGUAGCCGGCCUGAGAGGGUGACCGGCCACAUUGGGACUGAGAUACGGCCCAGACUGCUACGGGAGGCAGCAGUGGGGAAUAUUGCACAACGGGCGGAAGCCUGAUGCAGCAACGUCGCGUGCGGGAUGACGGCCUUCGGGGUGUAAACCGCUGUCGCCUGUGACGAAGCGUGAGUGACGGUAAUGGGUAAAGAAGCACCGGCUAACUACGUG